rnacentral:lncRNA from 1 species
UCUUGCCUCUCUAACAGAGCAAAGGAGAGUUCAUGCCUAGGCCAUACCCUAGGUCCUGGGUAGGAGAUGAAAGGACUGGGCAGAGUCCUGGAUGACAGGGUAAUAAUCCCAAGGCCACUCCAGGAAUGCCUGUGAAACCCCAGACACAUUCAUCCAGGUUCUGUAGGAUCCUCUAGUCCUACGCAGGGUGCUUUGGGGCUGCAAGUGGAGAACAGACUAGGUGGGUAAGGGCCAGAAGCCCAGGUUAAAAAUACAGAAAUGAGAAUCUCUCAUGGGUGUGGCUGGCUCUAUGACUCUGAGUUCUACUCAGGCCCUGUAAUGAGCAUGGGUCAUUGAGUGUCAAGGCCAUAGUAAGGAGAGUAGAAUCUGCCCAUUUAGCCCCUGACUUCAUCUCAGGCCAGCUGUAGGCAAGCGGCUCUGGAUAACAUAGCCUGUCCUCUCUCCUCUCCUCAGCAUCCCCUAGGCACCAGCCGGGCUGGGGGGAAGGGUGGUGUGAGUGUGUCUGGAUAGCUAGCCCCUUACCACCACUUCAGGCUCCUCAAGGCCAUCUGGGUGUCAUGGCAACAUGGGCAGGAAGCGGCUGCCAUGGCAACUGGUGUCCAGGGAAAUGCGCUGCCUAGCAACAGGGGCUAGGGCCACUCUAGCUCCUCACAGCACACUCUAGUGUCCCACACUCUCUGUGUGUCUUCGAGUCUGCAUCAUCCUAGCACUCCCACCCAGUGCAGCCUCGGGGCUCCACACAGACCCUCACCCAACCCAACACACCAAUCUGUAGGGUAUUUAACAUGCUAGCACAGCUCAUGCUCAUGCGGAACCAGCUACACGGCAGACCUGGGGCUCUUCUCUCCUACUAGACUCCCUCACCUCUCAGGACUCUCUGGAGAUCAAGAGCAUACAAGGACCGUGGAAAAGGGGGAGGCGUCUUCGGGGCUGUCUGAAAGAAACCAGCCUUCCAGAUAGGGCACAGCCCAACAAAGGUCUGCAAGACAACAGGAGACCGGCCGUUAGUCUGUAAGGGACUUCAGCAAACUGAAAGCGGGACUCAGCUAACUCGGGAUACAAGUGGCUGGGAAGCAGGAACUGGCUGCAGACAAGCUUGGACUCCAGUACUGAUUAUGGCAGCUGUCAACAGAAUUCCUUGGCAAACUCCCUAGGUCUCAUCAUUCCAGAUACCAGAGCUGGAGCAGUGAUAUGCAUGGCAAGAGGCCCUCCUGCUUCAACCUGGACCUCCCUAUGGUUUAACAGAAAAAAAAAAUACCUUUUAGCUUUCUGAACUCCUUCAUAAACAGAGAUAGAAAAAAAAAAACCCCAAACAGGUUUUUAUUUGAAGAGUAUCUGCUGGGAAGUGAUCAAGAAUAAAGGAAAACAGAACCAAAGAACCAUAAGGGGAAAAGAAAAAGUCGUCAUCAAAAGGUCUUGUCCUUCUCCAAAACCGCUGCAUCCUAAAAAAAAAAAAAGAACAGGGUACCUUGAAAAGGAAGAGGCACUGAGGGGCUCACAGUGACCUCCAGCGAUGAAAAAGUAUGACCAGUGAGAUUCAAACUUGUCAAAAAAAAAUCCUCAUGUGUUACAUAAUCCUUUGGUCAAUUAUAGGCAAUAUGUGCUCCCAUAAGAAUCAUAAGAAUGCAUAAUAGGACGGAGGGGCAGGAGAAGGGGAGCUGUGAUGGGGUGUAAAGUAAGUGACUUAAUUUUAAAACAUCAGUAUUCCUCAGACAGACAGACAAUAUUUAAUACCAAGGAUGGAAGAAUAAUUCAGCGGUAGAUGCCUGCUUAUCAUGUGCAAAGCCCUGGGUGUCAUGCUCAUCACUGCUAAGAAAAUGUCACAUCAACUACUUAUGCUGUUGGCAUCAUGAUAUAACAUAUCCCUCACCGUUGUGCUGGGAGGGCAAGAGUACACCACUGCAUGGUCAGUGGAAGACAGUGCGGAGCACGCAUACAGAGCCCAGUACUGCAACAUGGCAAUAAAUGCCUGUGCUGACUGCUACCGCACUUAUGAUAGGACACUUUCAUUUAGUUUAGUGUGUUCUUUGUGUUUGUGUUUUUAAAGGGCUUUACUGUAGAAUGAAUGCAGCUGGGGUAAGCUGUAGCCGCUCUCUGGCCUCUUGUGCUUUGUGCCUCUCCCCAGCACACUACCUUGCUCUUCCUCAGUCUCACACUGUCCCACUCAGCAGCCAAGGAGCAGCGGGUUCUUCCCACCCAAGCUCCACAUGACCCAACUGUGUAGGAUACAGUGCCAUCUAGGCUUACACACGUGUGCUUUAGAAUGCCAAAUUCUUCAGAAUGCACCCCAUCAUUAAAUGGCACAAGGCUGUGUAUAAAGUGAGAGAGGACGGCUAAGACAGCUCAGCCGAACGCUUGCCAGUGAAGCCUGAGGACCUGAGACUGAUCCUGGAAGUUCUGUAGAAAGCCAGGGGUAAUGGCUCACAGUCUGUCCUAGUGCAGAUCUGGUUGGGGUUGGCUAGCCAGCUACCCUCCUUUAAUCCGAGUACCCCAGGUCCCAGUGAGAGACACUGUCUCAAACAAAACAACAAAACACAUCUGACAGUCUCUUCUAGCUCAA